UCAACUGCAUAUUUUGCAUUCCAUUUGAGACUUGGUUUGAGAAAAUCGGUUCAGUCAUCACCGAAGAACCGAUGUGACUUUAAUUGUGGAAUAUGCCCGGAAUUCGAGACUUCCGGAAUCGUCGAUAGUGGACAAUAUAUUCAAAGAAUGUUUGAUUGGCAAUCAGUGAUCUAGAUCUGCGAUUAGAAGUAAUUUGGUGACCAUUUCAAUAGUUUUUAGCCUCUGAGGUAUUACGAUUGUACCGAUUUAUAUUGGAAAUUCCAGUGUAUCCUUACUAACACCCCUGUAACUCCGGAAGCAAGAGUCAGAACCGUAUGAAAUUUAGCAGCAGUCAAUGGUAUUACUGUAUCUUUCAUUUGAAAUCAAGUUUGUAAAAAUCGGUAGAGAAUUCGUUGGGGAAUGGUUGUGAUGGAACUUGGCGGGUUCCCCGGGGGCGUCAUGAACCGUCAUAGGUGGCCAAUGUGGUCAAAGCUGCUUUGAUUGAUCAUUAGUGAUCCAGACCCGCGAACUAGAGUAAUGCUACAUCAAUUUUAAUAUGUUUUACAUCAUUUGAACAUCAUAGUGGUACCAGUUUAUAUGGGAAUUCACAGAGUGACCGCACUCUUCAACCCGUAACUCCGGAACCGGAAGUCGGAUCAACUAAAAAUUCAAUAGCAGCUUAUGGGAGCGUUAUAUCUUUCAGAUGAAACUAAGUUUGUGAAAAUCGGUUCAGCCAUCUCUGAGAAAAUUGUGUGAGUUUAAAUGACACACACACACAUACACACACAUACAUACACACACACACAGACAUUUACCGAUCUCGACGAACUGAAUCGAAUGGUGCAUGACAUUCGGCCCUCCGGGCCUCGGUUAAGCAGUCGAUUUUUACAGUGAUUGCAUAGCCUUUCUUUAUAUGAGAAAGGCAAAACGUUAUUCGAACUGAUGAAGGGGAAUGGGGAAGAGGCUCUUGGGUGAAUCAGAAAAAAAACAUUUAUAAAGUUCUUUUUACAUCUGCCGCAUUUGAUAGUGUCGAUACACACUCAUCACAUUUUGCCCAUGGCAUAGUGUCCCUCGAAAACUAUAACUGUACUAUUCGAGAAAUGGUUAUCUGUGGUCACAAUACACCAAAUGAUUGAAACGAUUUGUGAUAUGGUACCAUGUUUGUUUUGCCGCACGAUUUGUCAUAUUGUAAAAAAAACAUUAAAUGAAUUGUGUAUAGUGUAAGAUUAUACUAAUCGCAAAGCAUGGUGAAGAAAUGUUUAUGGUAGAAUGUUUAAUGUACCUUGUUAUAUCCAAUAACAAUGUAGUACCGCAAAAAUGGAUUAUAAGAUCACCAUUCCCCUUAUAAUAUGCCUUUAAAUUUGUUCGAGGAAAUCGGCAUUUUUGAAUGGUAACGUUACUUAACGAUCUAUUCGGCAAAUGGUACAAGUGGCGCUGACAAUAAGUGGAAUAGUCAACAUGAUUGCCGGUAGCGUUGGUUUAUCGUUUCGUUAAUGAUAAGAGGAAACUUCAGGGAAUGGUUUUUAAGGUCCAAAUACAAUAGCGGCUAUCUUACAGGAAUGGUCACCAAAUAUGCGGGUUGUUAAGAAAGAUACAAAUAAACUUAAAAUUCAAUUUUUAAAUGCAGCUAGUAUUGUGAAUUCUUGACUGAGGGUCGACAUUUGAGGUACAAUUAUUUUCAGCAAUUGUGAAAAUCAUGCAAAUGGAAUCUGGCAACGAUGGAUGCUUAUUGUCUUUGGAAUUACGACAAGGCCUGGUAGAUAAAAUUAAGAAGAACAAGAAGCCUGUUGUCGUCUCUUCUCUUAGCGAGAGACACGUCAUGUAAUGAUGUGUAACUCAUUAUACAGAUGGAGCUACUGUUCCGAGUUUAAAUUAUUGACUGAGGGUCGAUAUUUGAGGUACAAUUAUUUUCAGCAAUUGUGAAAAUCAUACAAAUGGAAUCUGGCAACGAUGGAUGCUUAUUGUCUUUGGAAUUACGACAGGGCCUGGUAGAUAAAAUUAAGAAGAACAAGAAGCCUGUUGUCGUCUCUUCUCUUAGCGAGAGACACGUCAUGUAAUGAUGUGUAACUCAUUAUACAGAUGGAGCUACUGUUCCGAGUUUAAAUUAUUGACUGAGGGUCGAUAUUUGAGGUACAAUUAUUUUCAGCAAUUGUGAAAAUCAUACAAAUGGAAUCUGGCAACGAUGGAUGCUUAUUGUCUUUGGAAUUACGACAGGGCCUGGUAGAUAAAAUUAAGAAGAACAAGAAGCCUGUUGUCGUCUCUUCUCUUAGCGAGAGACACGUCAUGUAAUGAUGUGUAACUCAUUAUACAGAUGGAGCUACUGUUCCGAGUUUAAAUUAUUUGCCAAAAAUUUUCACCGAAAUCGUUCUAGUUGUCAUGUCGGUUUGUCGGUGGUUAAAUGGAAACUACCUUCAACACGGUUUACGUAAUUUUACCUUCCUGCACGAUACCACGAGAUUGAGUCAAAAGUACUCAAUUUUAGGUAGUUUAUCGGUGGCGUGUAGUUGUCUUGUCUUAGGUUUUACGUCUAGCAAAAAACACUUUUGAAGGCUCAAGUUACCUUUUUUGAACAUGUGUUAAGUGGACCCUACACGAGCGGAAAUAUUGACAAUAAACCAAUAAUUGAUCAAUAUAUUGAUCGUGUAAGGACAUUUUGAAAAUAUUGAUUAUGUACAAUUCAAAUGGGAUUGACGUAUUGAAGUAGUCUUGUCAAUAUUUUUAUUGACAAUAUUCUUGUCUCGUGUAGGGUCCGCUUUAGAAUUAGACGCUUGGUAGUAUGCGUAGGAAAAAAAUGUGUUCAGUUUUGCCGCCGAUUUAUCCUUAUAAAGCAUUUAUUAAACGCUAAAAGAAGAAUAUCAGUCGAUUUCUAGGGGCAGAUCACUUGUGAUGCAUUUUUAAAAAUCAGCGAAAUUAAAUGCAUUUAUUUCCAUCAAAAUAGAAAUUCGUAAUGUAUUUUGCGUUGCGUGCAAUGUUUUUGCGUUGCGUGCAAUGUUAUUUGCGUUGCGUGUAAGACGUCAAAACCAGAGAUGCCAGGUUUGCAGACAAGUCUGCAAAUACGCAGACUUUUAAUUUUAGCUGCAGAUUUCUUCGAUGACGCAGAUAUUUGCAGAUUUUUUAGUUUGGUUGCAGAUAUUUGCAGAUUUUUUAGUUUGGUUGCAGAUAUUUACAGAUUUUUGAAUGUAAAGACUUUUGAUUACACUAGCUUUCCUGACAUUUUUGUUCUUCCCAGACUUUUAAAAUUAUUAUUGUAGACAUUUGAAAAAAGUAUCUGGCAUCUCUGGUCAAAACCCUACAGAAAAAACUAGCCCUACAUUUAACAAAACGUCGAAUAAAGUGGAUCAGCGUAGGACGUUUGUUAAACAAACUUUUCUGCGGGGCAGUGCAAAGCUGAUGCAAAAAUGGAAAUUAAAUACAUUUUUUUCAAUUUGAUGCAAAUUUGUUAUACAUUCUUAGAGUGAUCUGCCCCUAGGUCGAUUUAUUAGAUGAUCACGAUUCAAAUCAUGCAAAAUAGUUGGUGGUGAAGAAAUUUUGUUCUAGCCUAAACGUCUGUUAUCUGUGUUUGAACCUUAAUCCCAGUUAAAGCUAAGUAUGCACCUCUUGCGAAAUGAGGUCGCGAAAUAUUUUUCCUUCUUCCAUUUUGACAUUUGCUCGCGAAAACUAGUCUGUGCGUUUGCCGUUAGAUGUCGCUUUUGACAGCUGAAAAUCGUUAUCAGUUGUUGUUUGUUUAUUUAUUUUUCAUGUUGAUAUUUUAAAAUUGAAAAACGGUGUACAUAAAACAAGCUUGUGAGUUGCUAAACGGUUUCUCCAGGUGUCUUCCUGGCAAACACGCCCGAGUAUAUCCCGGAGAAUGGUUACAGUUAUGAUGUCUGAGGUUUUGCAGGAAGUUCGAUGCACGGUUACAUCAUAUUUCACAUUAGUGAGCGCCCACACAAGAGCACAACAAUAUUGGCUGAGAAUCUGUCUUAACCGAAUGCAUGUGUGUGCUAACGUUUCGCUCUUCAUCAGAACAAGAAAAAGUAAGGAACCGAAAAGUAACUCACAUCUGCCCUAUUGCGAUGCCGACAUUUCCCCUGAACGGCAGCGGAACCUAUGGAUGCACCAUCAUGUACAAACUGGAAAGAAACACAAGUGCAACCCUAACCGAACACAUGAACAUAUGAGAGAGCGGCUGUAUAAGAAAAUGGAACAAAAAAUAGUUACGAAGCCACACACAUGCACUGCCAUGCGACAAAGAGUCUGGUUGCUAGAAUGGGACUAGAUAUUAUAACAGCUAGAGGGCACUUUCCGGUGCUAGCACGAUUUUGAACGCGCUAAAGGCAGUUAAAUUCGAGGUACCAAAACUAAACAUAAACUUGUAAACUUUCUUACAUCUAAAAAUUUGCUUAUACGAGUAUUGUCUAUCUCGCACUGAUGCAAAUUAGAUGGGUGCGUAAUUCAACGUACGGCCUUGUGGCGCAUGGCUGAAAAGUCGCAAUGUAGAUUUAAGAAAAAAUUCGCAAUAUUCAGUUACGAUGAAGAGCGAGCCAAUAUGUAUAAGUAACAUUUUGUGAGCAUAUACGCCAACGCAUACCAAGGAUAUACAUGUAAAGGACAGAUUCAAGGAAGAAUUCGCUACCCUACAUGCGGUAUAAACCAGUUCGGGAACUAUUGCUUUUCACAAUACAAUGGAGACAAAAUGUUUAAGCUGGUGUUGCAUUAGAAUUAAAAAAUAAAAUUUAAUUAUAUUCCAAUUAGUUGUAAACAGUUUCAAAUGAGAAAAUAGGCUCUUUACCCUAUUAUAAUAACCAAAUGAAUAAAACAAAUCAAAUUUAUAAUA